ensembl:lncRNA novel transcript
GCAUCUAAAACCUCUGCCUUGGUUUCUCAUUGUCACAUAGAUUCUACUUCCCUUUUAUGUCAUAUAGAUUCUAUUUGCCUUAUAUGGCACAGGCCAUAGUGCUCUGACCACAAUAUACUUCUCUCCUGCCAUUCCCUCACACACCCUAUCUACCCCAUACCUCCAGCAAAGAACACUCAGCAUCCCAAACAAGUAAAAAAUAAGAUAAGGGACUCAUUCAUCUACAUUUCCCAGAUAUCAUCAUUCAUUUAGCAAACAUCUAUUUCACAUCUUCUAUGUGAUUGGUUGUGAGUAUAAAACAAUGAAGAAAACAUUGUUCCUAUCCAAAAAACUCACAAUCUGAUAAACUUCUGUCACACAGGGCUAUGUCUUCUUGUUUUGAAGGAAAUAGGACACACACUAUCUUUCCAAUCACCAAGGAGAAAGAGGCUGAGGCCCAACAGAACAGCAUAGGUAAUAUGGUAGCCAAAGCUCUCUACUAGAGAAGCAGCUUUCUUUGCUGGACACCAUGGCUCAUGCUUGUAAUCCCAGAGUUUUGUGAGACCAAGGCAGAAGAACCCAGGAGUUGAGCCCAGCAGUUCAAGACCAGCCUGGGCAACAUAGUGAGACCCUGUCACUAUGAAAAAUUUUUAAAAAUUAGCCAGACACAGUGGCAGACACCUGUGUACACACAGCAGCACAUACCAGCUACUUGGGAGGCUGAGGCAGGAGGAUCGCUUGACUGAAACCCUGUCUCUAAAAAGAAAAAAGAGGGGAAAACAACAGAAGCUGCUUCCAAUUAUCAAUCACAUCCAAAUGUGGGCCAACCCAUGCCAUUUACCGACAAAAUAAUGAAGGAUUGGAUAGAGAACUGGCCUUCGAAGUGCAGAGUGAAAUGCAAGAGAGAAUCCGGUGUCAGGCAGAUCUUUGAAGGUCACCAGAUUCUUGAUAAUGCCAGAAACAAGGCCUACCACGUGACCAUGACGAGAACGAUGACCAGGCCCUGGGACGGCCCUGGUGUGAGCAGAGUAAGCAGAGGUGAAACCUUGGAGCCCAAAAGGCCGGCAGAAGAAAGUGAUGAUUUAAGCUCACCAAGAGAGCAUUCAGGUCCUGGGGUAACUGAGGUGUGAAGAAAUACCAGCACUUUGGUAGCAAGAAGGGCCUGUGAUUUCUGCCUUUUGGCAAAAAGCAGACACGAGAAUUUGCAGAUCACACAGAUUAGUGGAACAAGACUAAGUUGACCACUUCCUCAAUGGAUAUAGGGAAGGGAUGACCAGGCUAUGAAAGACUUGGAACCCAGCUCUCACUCCUGACCAAGAUUUCUCAUCAAGCUCCCCUCUCCACUGAGAACCAUUUUCAUCACUCAAUAAAAUUCUCCACUUUCACCACCCUUCAACCUUCCAUGUGACCCCAUUCUUCAUGGACACUGGACAAGAGCUCGAGACCCACCCAGUGCAGUGGUGCUGGGCAGCUCCUCCCUCCCUGAGGGCUGUUCUGCCAACCUCACGACACCAUCAUAGAAGACUUCAGAGACUGACUGUUGCAGGUUGAACUGUGUCCUCCAAAAAGAUAUGUUGAGUCCCUAAUCUCCAGUACCUGUGUAUGUGACCCUAUCCGGAAAUAGAGUUUUUGUGGAUGUAAUCAUACUGGAUUUGGAUGAACCCUAAUCGAAGAUGACCAGGGUCCUUCUAAGAAGAGAAUAGAUGCAUGUGCGCGCAAGCGCGCGCGCGCACACACACACACACACACACACACACACACACACACAGAGGACCAUGUGACAGCUGAGAGAUUGGAGUGACGUGUCUGCAAGCAAAAAAUGCCAAGGAUUGCCAGCAACCACCUAUGGUCUCCUCCCCUAGAUCAUCUAGAGAGAACACAGCCAUGCUGACAUCAUCAUUUCAGGCCUCUAUCCUCUGGAACUGCAAUAUAAUAAACUUCUGUAGUUUUAAGCCACUCCAUUUGUGCUACUUUGUUAUAGAAGCACUAGGAACCUAUUACUCUCACCUUUGCUUUUCCCAUUCACUCUACGGACUUUCCUUUUUAAGCUUCCCUCCCCAAACAUUGUCUCUCAUAGGAUUCUCAUCCAUGUAUUUGUGCAUGAACUUCCCCGCAUCUUAUGAAAUAUCUGAGUAAAUGU